AUGGUACGUACUGGCUUUACUGGUUCCUCCUUCUUGAAGAACUGUAAUGUCAUUAAUUUGGUGUUGCAGGGAAACAGGACUGUUACUUUGAAAAAAUUAGAGUGUUUAAAGCAGGCUAACGCUUGAAUACAUUAGCAUGGAAUAAUGAAAUAGGACGUUUGAUCCUAUUUUGUUGGUUUCUAGGAUUGACGUAAUGAUUAAUAGGGAUAGUUGGGGGCAUUAGUAUUCAAUUGUCAGAGGUGAAAUUCUUGGAUUUAUUGAAGACUAACUACUGCGAAAGCAUUUGCCAAGGAUGUUUUCAUUAAUCAAGAACGAAAGUUAGGGGAUCGAAGACGAUCAGAUACCGUCGUAGUCUUAACCAUAAACUAUGCCGACUAGGGAUCGGAUGAUGUUAUUUUUAAUGACUCAUUCGGCGCCUUACG
rnacentral:rRNA from 1 species